CCAGCCGCUCCUCCGGUCUCGCACUUACAAAUAAAACAUUUGUAAGGGCGGGUGCCCCAGCCGCCCUUAGAAAUACCAUAUGUAAGGGCGGCUGGUGACCCAACCUCCCUUACAAAUAGUAUUUUCUAAGGGCGGCUGGUGAUCCAGCCCCCCUUACAAAUAGUAUUUCUAAGGGCGGCUGAGACACCAUCCGCCCCUAAAGUGAUAAUUUGUAGGGGCGGUUCAAUCUACAGCCUGUUUUUCAGCAAAAAAAAUUUAAAUCUGAAUUCAAAUAUGACUAGAGCACGUAAUAUAUAAUUCAAAUCUGACCACCACACACACACACACACACACACACACACACACAUAUAUAUAUAUAUAUAUAUAUAUAUAUAUAUAUUCAUCCACAACCACACAAGAACAAUAUAAACCACAAAUUACAUGUCUAAUUCAUCGCAAAGUCUAUUACAUAACCAUAAUUCACAAGUUCAAAUAUUCCUACAAGUCCAUAUGCAUCUUAGUCUAGAUUGUUAUCAACGUCCAAGACAGAGCCUGUGUGUCUCACGCAGGUGUUGGUGAAGUGGAUUGGAGCCUAAGUCGGACCUUACAUCAUGAUAAGCGCCUCUAGAAUCAACAAUCUCGUCAAUGAUGAAGUUGCAAAGGUCGCCGACGAGCCCUAUGAGUUCAUCCUCCUUGAUUAGGUUCCUUCGCUUGUCUUUAUAUUCUUUCCACUAUAGGAGAACAAGUUUAAGAUUUUAUAACAUGAGGAAACUAAAUUUCAUAACAUAAGCUAAGUUUUCAUACUAUGAGGGAACAAAGUGUGAAACUAACCAGAUUGGGGUGUCUCGUGUAGGCACUAGUGUUACUCAUCAUGCAACAUAUGUAAUAUCCGCAAUGGUAUUCAGAUCUCGUGUAGGCACUAGUGUUACUCGCAUAAUCAGAUGUGAUCUAAUGGUAUUCAGAUCUACAAAUGCCAUAAGAUUCUUGCAAUCUUUGCAGGGACAAAUAAUUAUAUCCUUAUAAUGUGUCAAUGUUAAUGCAUGCUUCUCUGUGGCUUCAAUAAAUUUAUCCACCUCAUCGCCAAAACCUUCAUCAAUCCUUGACCAACCAUACAUCCAAGAGUUCCUGUACUCCGUCUUUUAAAACAAAAUAAAAAUACAAAAUACAUAAAACAAAAUAAACUAAUAAAGAAAAAUACAAAGUAGACAUUAAUUGUGUAUAUACUCAUGGUAGAGGAUAAUUAUUUAGUUGGCUAUUAAUAAAACUAAAUAUUUAAAAAACGAAUAAGAAACAAGUAUUAUUUUACCAAUUUGCAACAAUUAACAACAAAACAAAAAUACAAAAUACAUAAAAAAUAAAUUAAUGAAGAAAACUACAAACUAGAGAUUAAUUGUGUAUACAUACUUAUACUCAUGGUAGAGGAUAAUUCUUUAGUUGGCUAUUCUUGAUUAUAAAGUUGUAAAUGGUGAAAAUAUUAACUUAUAUAUUAAUUAGUUGGCUAUUAAUGAAACUAAAUAUUUAGAAAAGAAAUUAGAAACAAGUAUUAUUUUACCAAUCAACAAUAAUUAGCAACAAUUAUAAAAAUAUAAUUAUAUAAAUAAACUUAUAUAUAGUUCCAUUGUCAACAAUUAGAAACAAUUAUUAUUUUACCAACAAUUUUUCAUAUCCAAACCAUUCUAAUUUCAUGAACCAUAAAUAAAAAAAAUUAAAAAGCAAAUCCUAGAUCUAGAACUAGAUCUACACAUACAUGAUAAAGUGAAAUAUAUCACCACUAAAAUGAAGCAAGAUCGACCAAUAAAGAGGGCAAGCUCAUAUCUCUAACUAAUUCCAACUAAUAGCUUAAGAACAAGGGUCUAAUUUGCUCCAUACAAAGCUCAAGCACUAUGGAAGAGAGAGAAAAGCAAAACUCAAAUUACUCACUAACCAACCACUAAAAACUUUAAUUAAAGUGUUGGAAUAGCAUUUUCUUACUUUUCCAAGCUUCCCAUCAUAGUUUUUGAGACCAAAACCUCCCCCCUCACUAGAGCAAUUUUUAGGAGGUGCCCAAGGCCUCCCAACCUUAUCUCCUCGGGUUGGAGUGAGUGACCCGAGGAGGAAGAAGGGUGCAGCAUAUAUACAGCCGUGAUUUGUAAGGGCGGCUGCCAGCCGCCCUUAGAAAUACCACAAUAAGAGCGGCUAGAUCACGAGCCGCCCUUACAAAUCGC
rnacentral:lncRNA from 1 species